CUCCGUCCUCCGCGGUUUAUCCUUCCUUUUCUCCUCCCUGCUAGGUUUUGUUUCGUGCUGUUCGCUAUCACCUGCCACCCUCCCGCCGACGAGCAGGAAUCGGCGGCGCCGGACGGCGUAGAGAGAUGAAAGGCCACACGGGGAAGGACGAGGGCCGUGUCAACUGUAACCCGAACUACAGCUAUCGAAUGGUCUUCCUGACCAACUUCCUCAUUUUCUUGAUGUGCACAAUCGUGCUUGCUGUGUAUUUUGAUGUCGUCCUUUCUGCCUUUGACGAGUAUGGCCUUUCUUGGAAGUUCAUGUUCUCGAGUGUCAUUGCAUCUCCUCCCGUUAUAGGGACAAUAUAUGGCUUGUUCACCACGAGGGACAUUUACAUGCACACCUUCGGUAUUUGGGAACAAUCCUCUCCAUGCAAGCGAUCAUAAGCUAGGAAAUACUCCUUUGUUCGGAUUUGCAUGCCCGGUCUUAAUUGGGCAAGAUAUUUUGACCACCCACAGUCCAAUAAUAUGUGAUUUAUGUGUACAAAAUUGUAAUGACUUAGUACUUGUAAAUCUAUAUAUCUAUAUUCUUUUAAUCUA